AAAUAGCCUAACCUCCUAAAUUGUUCUCCUUUUUCUUCAAAAUCUCAUGUUCUUCUAUGUUUUGAAUCAUCAAUGCGUAAAUGUCAUGAUGGGUUCUAACAUGCUUGAUUUCAUCAUGAAUGUCCUUAAUUCAUGUGAUCGUGGAAUUUAGGUGUAAAACUACGUGUGUUGUAUGUGAAUGCGGAUCUAUGGUUUGAAAGGUUAAUCAAUACAAAUGCAUUACCUCACUGGUGUAACUCUAAGAAAGAAUGGUGCGAUGUGAGCUACAUCAUGAACUAUUCUUGACGAAUAGCCUAUGGCUUAGUGUUAAGAAGAUAAGUUUCUAAUGAACGCGUCUAUAUAUGUGUAGAUGGCGGCGUGUAUGCAAGAUGAGCCUCUGUUAGGCGUAGAGAAAAUAUGCGUAUGAUAGUUGUAGAGAAGAUGAACAGUUGUCCUGGUAUGGAGAGUAAGCCUAUCAAUCGGGCAUCUAGGAUAAGAUAUCCAAUCUUCUUACGAUUAUGAUUGCAUUAUCUAAUUUCAAAGAUAUCCUAAUUUGACUUGAAUUAGGGUUUUCUUACUUAGGAGACAAGUAACAUCUUCAAUGUGUAGUAUGUCCGACAAAGGACUACGCUCAUGGGUUACGAGUAUUCCGGUCCCUCUUGCCACCCGAGAUGCCACAGGUUAUAAGCCCAGAAAAUCAUAUUCCCACAUCCUGUAUGUUAUAGGGACCGUUUUUUAUUUUGUCCAUAUACAAAGAAACAUCCAUAUAUAGUUGGCUAAUUAUUUCACGAAAAAGGAAGAACAUUCAUAAAGGAAUACAAUUAUUAAAAUAGGGAAAUGAUAUGCUUGGCAUAUUUAUUUCACGAACAAUAACCGCAGCAAGAUAUCUUCACCCUUAUCCAAGGAAAUAUUUGA
rnacentral:lncRNA from 1 species